GCUUUUCUCCAACUGCAACUCCAUGGGGGCUGUGGGUGGCACUACUUCUAUAAUACUUUCUCUUACACGGUCAUGCGUUUGUGUUAGUGCAUUAAACUGCUGGAUUUGCUUAAUGAGUGCCUGGUGAUAAUACAGCCACAGAAUGAGAGGGGUCUUAUUCCAUUUGCUUCUGCAGAUCACAGGUCCACUCCACAGGCAGGAAAAGCCAACAGGGUUUCCUACUAGACAGGAGGAGGGAGGCCAACCCCAAGGGAAGCCAUGCCACAGUGAUUACUGAAAUGGGACCAAUCCCGGUCGAUGACCAGCCCUGAAGGUGAGACACCUGCAGAAGCUGAAGAGUGUGGCGCACCUGCUGGCCCUUCCUGAUAGAGCCACACGGGACUCAGCCUGGAGCAGCCUCUGGCUACAGCAUCCUUUCAAUAUAAAAUACCAAUGGGGAAGAAAUGGGAGGAUGAAGAUGGCUGAGAAUGUGAAGAAGUUGAAGGAGAAGAGGCAUGCCGGUUUCUACGUGGAAGGAGAGCCUGGACUCCAUCAAAGGCAUUCAUUUGGGAAAGAGGAAAGCAUAGCAAGACAUCUCCAGCUUCCUCCUCCAGCUUCCCCAACUCAAUAACGGCUGCUACAUGGCAGCCUGCCCUCACGUGGAGCAAGUGGUGAACCUUUUAUAAGACAUUCUUGUCUUCUGAAUCCAGAAGAUGCUGCCAGAAAUGAGUGCGACUGCGCAUGAUGUUAGAUACAAUAGACAAUAAAUGCCAAAUGACCAAAGUCACAGGUUUACAGAGUUCUCCUCCAGAAGCACAUGUAAUGAAUGAAAACACGCUGUUAGACAUGCUGACUCACUGGGACACGUGAGUUCGAAAAUGUAUCUAGCAGGAGAUGUUCCAGCCAUAUGCAACAGUGGAUGAGAACCACGGCUGGCUUCCCCUCGGAAAAUGAGUGUGCACCACACUGCAAUCUGCGCUGGCUCUAAGUCACAUGCUCAGUAAGCUGCUGCUUAAGGCAGACUCAGCUGGAAACUCUUCCCCUGGCAGCCAGCAGAGAGGUGGCUUCUGCAUUGCAGUCCCACCUGCUGGGUCCUUACUCUGGGUCUUUGCCUUCUCCUCCCCCUGAGAUCCAGUGCUGCUCUUCCUGAGGUGACAUGGGGACUACCAUGUACCACAGGGCUCCCAGACAGUAGUAACCACCCAGGCCAUUGC
rnacentral:lncRNA from 1 species